rnacentral:rRNA from 1 species
UACGUAGGUGGCAAGCGUUAUCCGGAUUUACUGGGCGUAAAGGGUGCGCAGGCUGUUUGUUAAGUUUGGGGUGAAAGCGUUGGGCUUAACCCAAUAUAGCCUCAAAAACUGGCAGACUAGAGUGCAGAAGGGGGAGAUGGAAUUCCAUGUGUAGCGGUAAAAUGCGUAGAUAUAUGGAGGAACACCAGCGGCGAAGGCGGUCUCCUGGUCUGUAACUGACGCUCAUGCACGAAAGCGUGGGGAGCAAAUA